rnacentral:rRNA from 1 species
GACGAACGCUGGCGGCGUGCUUAACACAUGCAAGUCGAACGGAAAGGCCCUGCUUUUGUGGGGUGCUCGAGUGGCGAACGGGUGAGUAACACGUGAGUAACCUGCCCUUGACUUUGGGAUAACUUCAGGAAACUGGGGCUAAUACCGGAUAGGAGCUCCUGCUGCAUGGUGGGGGUUGGAAAUUUUCGGCGGGUGGGGAUGGACUGGCGGCUUAUCAGCUUGUUGGUGGGGUAGUGGCUUACCAAGGCUUUGACGGGUAGCCGGCCUGAGAGGGUGACCGGCCACAUUGGGACUGAGAUACGGCCCAGACUCCUACGGGAGGCAGCAGUGGGGAAUAUUGCACAAUGGGCGGAAGCCUGAUGCAGCAACGCCGCGUGCGGGAUGACGGCCUUCGGGUUGUAAACCGCUUUCGCCUGUGACGAAGCGUGAGUGACGGUAAUGGGUAAAGAAGCACCGGCUAACUACGUG